rnacentral:rRNA from 1 species
UACAGAGGGUGCAAGCGUUAAUCGGAAUUACUGGGCGUAAAGCGUGCGCAGGCGGUUUUGUAAGUCUGUCGUGAAAUCCCCGGGCUCAACCUGGGAAUUGCGAUGGAGACUGCAAGGCUAGAAUCUGGCAGAGGGGGGUAGAAUUCCACGUGUAGCAGUGAAAUCCGUAGAUAUUGGGAGGAACACCGAUGGCGUAGGCAGAUAACUGGCUCGUUCCUGACACUAAGGCACGAAAGCGUGGGGAGCAAACGGG